rnacentral:rRNA from 1 species
UACGUAGGGGGCAAGCGUUGUCCGGAAUUAUUGGGCGUAAAGCGCGCGCAGGCGGUUUUUUAAGUCUGGUGUUUAAGCCCGGGGCUCAACCCCGGUUCGCACCGGAAACUGGAAGACUUGAGUGCAGGAGAGGAAAGCGGAAUUCCACGUGUAGCGGUGAAAUGCGUAGAGAUGUGGAGGAACACCAGUGGCGAAGGCGGCUUUCUGGACUGUAACUGACGCUGAGGCGCGAAAGCGUGGGGAGCAAACAGG